CUCUCCUCUUCAGCUCCUUCUGCUCUAGAUAUCCCAGGUGACCCCGAUCAGUCACCAUUUGUGUUAUAUAUCAAGGGGAGUAAGAGCGGCUAGUAAAAAGUACUUGAAAACCUGCUGCCUUUCAAGUCGGCCGCUCGCAAUAUCAGCGUUAGAUCCUCCAAACCAAGCUCAUUGAAGGAUAUGGACGCCGAGCAACAGGAAACCAUCCUAUGCUCCCAAGUAGGAUGCAGGGAUUCAUCCUGUAUGAACAGUAUUCCUGGCGACAAAUGUAGAAAAAGGGUGUAGAGGAUAAGGAAUAUCUUCACAGUGUAAGGGAUGUAUCUGUCCGGUACAUAAUCAAAGCCGGUAAAAAUACAUCUCUUGCACUGUGAAGAUGUUCCUUCUCUUUCAUACUUAUAUUUUCUUCUCGUAGUCGAGUUCCCUCGCACAGGAACCCUCCAAACAGCUCUAUCUCAACUGGCCACGAAGGGCUUAACGACAGCAGCGAAACCUAGCCGUGGGAUUACUCCACAGGAUGAACCAGAUACACCAUAUGUUGCAGCAAACUUAUAUCAAAACAGCAGCUCCCAGUGAGGGUUUGGUUACUCGCUGAGAGCAAUGACAGGAGAGCGAACAUGCAAGAGGAAUGUGUUGAUCCUCGUGCAGCGCCAGGCACGGCCUCCUCCUCCUCCCUUCUCGGAACCACUAGGUAACGUAUUUCAAUGUGCCCGAGAAGUGGAUAUAUUUCAUCCUCGUGUCGAAAGAAGUGGUUCGUCUUCACCAGGAACUGAAAGAAAUUGCACAUCCUAGUAUGGGAUGUCGAGAUGUUUAUUGUUUAUCAAUGGAUAGGCAAUUUCCAUGUUUGUUUGUUUUUAUAUUAUUCUUGCGACCAUUGAUAUGCACACGGUCACUGCCUUACUAUACAGCUAUAAAAUCUACUCUUGCCAUUAAAACUACGAGAAUGAUCAUUGCAACAAACCUUCCCAUAAAUCAUCUAGACAAUAUCAUGUGGAGAAAUACUGCGGCGACCUCGAGCACUUGACCCCAAUUAACUGUCUCGACACUCGAGCUGUCACACUCCAUGCUUGUUCCGCAAGUGUGACGCCGACUCGAGCUCUUGCUGUUUACCCUUUACCCUUGGGAAACCCCUCAUUCAUUAUCAUCAUCUAGAAUAACAAUUUAAAGGGGACGAGAAAGAUACAUGCACCCUUUCUCGAGAGGAAAUGUGUAGGCAGGGAUUCCACAGGCGAUAAUGAAGCGGCGGCGGGCGGAGGGUCACGGGGGCAGACACGUACUGGCAACUCGGCCGAGGGACAGACCGCGGGUUAUUUGUUUACACGGGUGCAAGGCGGGAGCGGGUCGAUUGAACGCGAGAGAUCUUUAACAUAUAAAUAUAUUUUUUUUCUAAUGUUUGAGUGCUUGCUGGUAUUACGUCAACGUCAGCAUUGCGAUGACAAAUGGGCAGAGCUGUGUGGACGAGCCUGGGGGAUUUCCGAAAAGGUUUCAGAAAGUGUAACG